rnacentral:miRNA from 1 species
ACCUUGGGAUCUUGUUAAAAUGCAGAUUCUGGUUUAGUGGGAAUGAAUUCUGCAUUUCAAACAAGGUUUCAGGUAAU